rnacentral:rRNA from 1 species
ACGAACGCUGGCGGCGUGCCUAAUACAUGCAAGUCGCGCGCAGGAAGUCAUCCGAACCCUUCGGGGGGACGUUGACGGAAUGAGCGGCGGACGGGUGAGUAACACGUAAAGAACCUGCCCUCAGGUCUGGGAUAACCACGAGAAAUCGGGGCUAAUACCGGAUGGGUCAUCGGACCGCAUGGUCCGAGGAUGAAAGGCGCUCCGGCGUCGCCUGGGGAUGGCUUUGCGGUGCAUUAGCUAGUUGGUGGGGUAAUGGCCCACCAAGGCGACGAUGCAUAGCCGACCUGAGAGGGUGAUCGGCCACACUGGGACUGAGACACGGCCCAGACUCCUACGGGAGGCAGCAGUAGGGAAUCUUCCACAAUGGACGAAAGUCUGAUGGAGCAACGCCGCGUGAACGAUGAAGGCCCUCGGGUCGUAAAGUUCUGUUGUAAGGGAAGAACAAGUGCCGCAGGCAAUGGCGGCACCUUGACGGUACCUUGCGAGAAAGCCACGGCUAACUACAUG